rnacentral:lncRNA from 1 species
GAAAUCCUUCUACUGCUUCCAUACUGCCUCAGGGCACAAAGAAUUGCUGAGCAGCCAUCGGAGGUGAUACGUCUCUAGAGAUAUAAACAGCUCCCUCUCAUUAGGAUCUGGUCACUUCCCUGCUUCUUUUCUGGAACUCCACUUGGAACGAAGAAGAGGCACUAGGUGCAUGCCUACACAGAGGAAAGCCAUGUGAGGACACAGCGAUAAGAUUGCUGACUGCAAGCUCAGGAGAACUUAGAAGAAACCAACCCUACCAGCACCUUGAUCUUGGACUUCCAGCCUCCAGAACUGUGAGAAAGUAAAUUUCUGUUGUUUAAAUCACCCAGUCUAUGGUAGUUUGUUAUGAUGACCCAAGCAGAAUAAUGCAUACCAUGAUUCUCUUCCAUUCUCUCAACUCAGGACAUCCUUUCCCAGUGUUGGGGUGGUGGAGGGGAAUGACAUAGAUGUUCGUGGAUGGAGAGAAGGCCUUCCUGUUGUUAAGACUUUUUUCUUAGCUCCAUCAUCCAUGUGACAUGCCCUUGCAUUCUUUUUAGUGUCUGGGCCAGUCUGCCAUGGCUUUUCAGAAAGCAGGGCCCAAGCACACCUUUGGAUUCAACCUGAGUGGGUUCUAACCAAGAAUACCA